rnacentral:rRNA from 1 species
AGUUAAGCCUCUGAAAGCCAGUAAGUCCUGAGUUACCAUGGAAGGGGGAAAGGUGGAACUUUCUAAGUGUUAGCCGCUGAAUGGCGGUAGAUAUUAGACGGAACCACCAGUGGGCGAAAGGCGACUUUCCUGGAACUGUAACCUGACGCUGAGGCAACGAAAGCGGUGGGUAGCGAACCAGGAAUUAGAUAUCUCGCUAGUCACGCCGUAAACCGAUGAAUACUAAGGUGUCGGCGAGCGAUCGUCGGUGCCCGGCGCUAACGCAAUAAAGUAUUCUGCCUGCGGAAGUACGGUCGCAAGACUAAAACUCAAAGGAAUUGACGGGGACCCGCACAAGCAGCGGAGCAUGUUGUUUAAUUCGACGCAACGCGAAAAACAUUACCAAAUCUUGACAUCCCUGUGACCGCACAUGUAAAGUGUGCUUUCUCUUCGGAGACAUAGGAGACAGGUGGUGCAUGGUUGUCGUCAGCUCGUGUCGUGAGAUGUUGGGUUAAGUCCCGCAACGAGCGCAACCCCUAUUUUUAGUUGCCAUCGGGUAAAGCCGGGCACUCUAGAAAGACUGCCGGAGACAAUCCGGAGGAAGGUGGGGAUGAUGUCAAAUCAUCAUGCCCUUUAUGAUUUGGGCUACAAACGUGCUACAAUGGUCGGUACAACGGGUCGCUAACCAGUAAUGGGGCGCUAAUCCAAAAAGCCGAUCUCAGUUCGGAUUGAGGGCUGCAACUCGC